rnacentral:rRNA from 1 species
GACGAACGCUGGCGGCGCGCCUAACACAUGCAAGUCGAACGGAGCUGUUUUCUCUGAAGUUUUCGGAUGGAAGAGAGUUCAGCUUAGUGGCGAACGGGUGAGUAACACGUGAGCAACCUGCCUUUCAGUGGGGGACAACAUUUGGAAACGAAUGCUAAUACCGCAUAAGACCACAGUGUCGCAUGGCACAGGGGUCAAAGGAUUUAUCCGCUGAAAGAUGGGCUCGCGUCCGAUUAGCUAGAUGGUGAGGUAACGGCCCACCAUGGCGACGAUCAGUAGCCGACCUGAGAGGGUGAUCGGCCACAUUGGGACUGAGACACGGCCCAA